rnacentral:tRNA from 1 species
GAAUCAAGAAAUCCAAGAAAAAGCUUCUAACUUAUUCUUAAGCGGCGCACCUCCGUUUUUGAUUCU